UACGAAGGGGGCGAGCGUUGUUCGAAAUUACUGGGCGUAAAGGGCGCGCAGGCGGCUCUGAAAGUCAGAUGUGAAAGCCCCGGGCUUAACCUGGGAAUUGCAUUUGAUACUCUGGAGCUUGAGUACGGGAGAGGAGAGUGGAAUUCCCAGUGUAGAGGUGAAAUUCGUAGAUAUUGGGAAGAACACCGGUGGCGAAGGCGGCUCUCUGGCCCGAUACUGACGCUGAGGCACGAAAGCGUGGGGAGCAAACAGG
rnacentral:rRNA from 1 species